rnacentral:rRNA from 1 species
GCACUACGGUGCUGAAGUAACAAAUGCCCUGCUUCCAGGAAAAGCCUCUAAGCAUCAGGUAACAUCAAAUCGUACCCCAAACCGACACAGGUGGUCAGGUAGAGAAUACCAAGGCGCUUGAGAGAACUCGGGUGAAGGAACUAGGCAAAAUGGUGCCGUAACUUCGGGAGAAGGCACGCUGGUGUGUAGGUGAAGUCCCUGCGGAUGGAGCUGAGACCAGUCGAAGAUACCAGCUGGCUGCAACUGUUUAUUAAAAACACAGCACUGUGCAAACACGAAAGUGGACGUAUACGGUGUGACGCCUGCCCGGUGCCGGAAGGUUAAUUGAUGGGGUUAUCCGUAAGGAGAAGCUCUUGAUC